UACGAGGGGGGCGAGCGUUGUUCGGAAUUAUUGGGCGUAAAGGGCGCGUAGGCGGUGCGGUAAGUCACCUGUGAAACCUCUGGGCUUAACUCAGAGCCUGCAGGCGAAACUGCCGUGCUGGAGUGUGGGAGAGGUGCGUGGAAUUCCAUGUGUAAGCGGUGAAAUGCGUAGAGAUAUGGAGGAACACCAGUGGCGAAGGCGGCGUUCCUGGUCUGUAACUGACACUGAGGCGCGAAAGCGUGGGGAGCAAACAGG
rnacentral:rRNA from 1 species